CCUACGGGUGGCAGCAGUGAGGAAUAUUGGUCAAUGGACGAGAGUCUGACCCAGCCAAGUAGCGUGAAUGAUGACUGCCCUAUGGGUUGUAAACUUCUUUUAUAUGGGAAUAAAAUGUUCCACGUGUGGGCUUUUUUAUGUGCCAUAUGAUUAAGGAUUGGCUAACUCCGUGCCAGCAGCCGCGGUAAUACGGAGGCUCCGAGCGUUAUCCUGAUUUAUUGGGUUUAAAGGGAGGGUAAGUGGAUUGUUGAGUCUGGUGUUAAAGUUUGCGGCUUAAACGUAAACUUGCAGUUGAAACUGGCAGUCUUGAGUACAGUAGAGGUGGGUGGAAUU
rnacentral:rRNA from 1 species